UACCAGAGUCUAAAUACCUUGAAGGCACAAGAUCCCCUCUGAUCUUGCAAGUCAAGUAAGGUCAGCCCUAAUUGUUAGUACCUGAGUGGGGGACAACAAGGAAUACCAGUGUACUGUAC
rnacentral:rRNA from 11 species